AAACAAAAAAAAAAAAAAAAAGAAAAAUCUACAUAUUCAUGGGAAAUUCAACCACAUACAGACAAACAAAAAUAAAACCACCAUACCAUGUUUUGAAUAUCAUUUCAAAAAUAGCGUCAUGCUCAGAUAUGAGAAAUUAUAAAUAACGUGCUGAACAAUCUCAAAUAAAAUUGUGAUCCAAAACAUACCCAAGUCGAUUUGAUGUGGAUUACUUCAAUAAUUAGUUGCCUUGGUGUCAGGAAAAGUAGGUAAACAUGAAAGCAAAAAGAUAAAGCCCCCCAAAGAGAACACUCUUGUCAUA
rnacentral:misc_RNA from 1 species